rnacentral:rRNA from 1 species
GGGGAAUUUUGGGCAAUGGGCGAAAGCCUGAUCCAGCAAUGCCGCGUGUGUGAAGAAGGCCUUCGGGUUGUAAAGCACUUUUGUUCGGGAAGAAAAGGACUUGGCUAAUAUCUAGGUCUGAUGACGGUACCGGAAGAAUAAGCACCGGCUAACUACGUGCCAGCAGCCGCGGUAAUACGUAGGGUGCAAGCGUUAAUCGGAAUUACUGGGCGUAAAGCGUGCGCAGGCGGUUCGUUAAGACAGAUGUGAAAUCCCCGGGCUCAACCUGGGAACUGCAUUUGUGACUGGCAAGCUAGAGUAUGGCAGAGGGGGGUGGAAUUCCGCGUGUAGCAGUGAAAUGCGUAGAUAUGCGGAGGAACACCGACGGCGAAGGCAGCCCCCUGGGCCAAUACUGACGCUCAUGCACGAAAGCGUGGGGAGCAAAC